CGCUGGCGGCGCGCCUAACACAUGCAAGUCGAACGAGAGAGAAGGAGCUUGCUUCUUCGAUCGAGUGGCGAACGGGUGAGUAACGCGUGAGGAACCUGCCUCAAAGAGGGGGACAACAGUUGGAAACGACUGCUAAUACCGCAUAAGCCCACGGGUCGGCAUCGACCUGAGGGAAAAGGAGCAAUCCGCUUUGAGAUGGCCUCGCGUCCGAUUAGCUAGUUGGUGAGGUAAUGGCCCACCAAGGCGACGAUCGGUAGCCGGACUGAGAGGUUGAACGGCCACAUUGGGACUGAGACACGGCCCAGACUCCUACGGGAGGCAGCAGUGGGGAAUAUUGCACAAUGGGGGAAACCCUGAUGCAGCGACGCCGCGUGGAGGAAGAAGGUCUUCGGAUUGUAAACUCCUGUUGUUGAGGAAGAUAAUGACGGUACUCAACAAGGAAGUGACGGCUAACUACGUGCCAGCAGCCGCGGUAAAACGUAGGUCACAAGCGUUGUCCGGAAUUACUGGGUGUAAAGGGAGCGCAGGCGGGAAGACAAGUUGGAAGUGAAAUCUAUGGGCUCAACCCAUAAACUGCUUUCAAAACUGUUUUUCUUGAGUAGUGCAGAGGUAGGCGGAAUUCCCGGUGU
rnacentral:rRNA from 1 species